AUAUCAAUAAGCGGAGGAAAAGAAACCAACAGGGAUUGCCUCAGUAACGGCGAGUGAAGCGGCAACAGCUUAAAUUUGAAAUCUGGCCCCGGCGGGGUCCGAGUUGUAAUUUGUAGAGGAUGCUUCGGGCAAGACUGCGGCUUAAGUCCCUUGGAACAGGGCGUCAGAGAGGGUGAGAAUCCCGUCUGUAGUCGUCUGUCGCGCCCGCACGAAGCUCCUUCGACGAGUCGGGUUGUUUGGGAAUGCAGCUCAAAAUGGGUGGUAAAUUUCAUCUAAAGCUAAAUACCGGCCAGAGACCGAUAGCGCACAAGUAGAGUGAUCGAAAGAUGAAAAGCACUUUGAAAAGAGAGUUAAACAGCAUGUGAAAUUGUUGAAAGGGAAGCGCUUGCAACCAGACUUGUGGGCAGCGGUUCAGCCGUUAUUCUUAACGGUGCACUCCGUUGUUUCCAGGCCAGCAUCGGUUUAGGUAGUCAGUUAAAGGCUCGGGGAAUGUAUCUGCACCUCGGUGCAGACUUAUAGCCCCGUGUGACAUCUGGCUUACCUGGACCGAGGAACGCGCUUCGGCACGGAUGCUGGCGUAAUGGUUGUAAGCGGCCCGUCUUGAAACACGGACCAAGGAGUCUAACAUCUAUGCGAGUGUUUGGGUGUCAAACCCCUACGCGUAAUGAAAGUGAACGGAGGUAGGAGCUCUCGGGCGCACUAUCGACCGAUCCUGAUGUCUUCGGAUGGAUUUGAGUAAGAGCAUAGCUGUUGGGACCCGAAAGAUGGUGAACUAUGCCUGAAUAGGGUGAAGCCAGAGGAAACUCUGGUGGAGGCUCGCAGCGGUUCUGACGUGCAAAUCGAUCGUCAAAUUUGGGUAUAGGGGCGAAAGACUAAUCGAACCAUCUGGUAGCUGGUUCCUGCCGAAGUUUCCCUCAGGAUAGCAGUAACGUUUUCAGUUUUAUGAGGUAAAGCAAUGAUUAGCGGCCUUGGGGAAGUAACUUCCUUAACCGAUUCUCAAACUUUAAAUAUGUAAGAAGUCCUUGUUACUUAAUUGAACGUGGACAUUUGAAUGUACCGUUACUAGUGGGCCAUUUUUGGUAAGCAGAACUGGCGAUGCGGGAUGAACCGAACGCGAGGUUAAGGUGCCGGAAUGCACGCUCAUCAGACCCCACAAAAGGUGUUAGUUCAUCUAGACAGCCUGACGGUGGCCAUGGAAGUCGGAAUCCGCUUAGAAGUGUGUAACAACUUACAGGCCGAAUGAACUAGCCCUGAAAAUGGAUGGCGCUCAAGCGUGCUACCCAUACCUCGCCGUUAAAGUUUAAAUGACGCUUUAACGAGUAGGCAGGCGUGGAGGUUUGUGACGAAGCCUUGGGGGUGACCCCGGGUCGAACAACCUCUAGUG
rnacentral:rRNA from 1 species